rnacentral:rRNA from 1 species
UACGUAGGGUCCGAGCGUUGUCCGGAAUUAUUGGGCGUAAAGGGCUCGUAGGCGGUUUGUCGCGUCGGGAGUGAAAACACCGGGCUUAACUCGGUGCUUGCUUUCGAUACGGGCAGACUGGAGGUAUGCAGGGGAGAACGGAACUCCUGGUGUAGCGGUGAAAUGCGCAGAUAUCAGGAGGAACACCGGUGGCGAAGGCGGUUCUCUGGGCAUUACCUGACGCUGAGGAGCGAAAGUGUGGGGAGCGAACAGG